CCACCUACCUCCUCGGCGGCUCACGGCGACGGGAUGCAGUUGCAGUCCACCACGAAUUUCGCUUCCGGUUGUGAGCCAGAGGCACGGGGCAAGUUCUAAGGCCGCAGCCAACGCACGACGAACCCCCAGGUAGUGGUUCCGAUCCACAAACACCUUAACGGACGGACGGACGGAGGAAACGUUGACGUCGCCGUCGCCGUCACCGUCGCGGUCGCCUCGUUCCUUCCGAUUCCGAUCCCCCUCGUCGUUCCCUUCCUGCUGGUACGGCGCCCCCGACCGCCGCAUGUACCACCUGUACCACACCCGCCACGAGCGGCCCACCCACAGCCGCACGGACGACCAGCGGUUGCUCUAGCGGGCGCCGUACGCACGGCCCCUCUAGCCGGGGAAGCAACACCCCACUUUUUUAGAGCAAAGCCGAGUAGUGAAGACUAAGUAAGGAAGUACGUCUAUCAAAAAACUGCUUAGGCAGGUACCUAUGUGGCGUAAUAUUACAUGUAUCAGGUAUUUGGAGGUAAGCACAAGUCGACUUACUGCAGCCGGCAAUGGACAUCACUGUCUAAGAUCUACUACAAAAAGAGAGGAAAGAAAGAUGUUAAGAAGACAAGGCAUAUCAGUACAUUUGUAAAAAAAAAUGAAAAAUGUAAUAUCAAGAGAUUUUUAUACACGCUGACGUAUUAUUCCUCAGUACAAUACAAGAAAAGGGGAGAAAUUAAAUACUAAUAGUUCUCGACGAGUAUGUUAGGCGACGUACCUAUCGUUGAGACCUCUUUCUACCCUCUUAAUUCUAACGAACCUCCUGAGAUGAUUACACCCGUUGUUCCUAUCCAUGUGGAUAAAGGUCCUGUACAUUACAUCAGACAGUAUGCCGUGAUAUAACAUGUAUGACUUUGCUUUAAUGUUCAAGUCUUUGCCCCGCUCG
rnacentral:rRNA from 1 species